CCUCUCCAGCCGCCUGCAGCUCCUCCUCAGCCGCCUGCCCUCACUGCGACGCCACGGAGCUGCGGCCCCGUCCACCAGGAAGUGCUGCGCGUUCACGUGGUGUCGGAGUAGACAGCCCAGGGCGCACAUCCAGAAAAACAAGUUUCUGAAGGGGAAGCCAAAUCUGACACAACACCAGGCAGGUCUGACGUUCACAGAGGCACCACCGACAGAUGUCAGUGCCCCACAGAUUUUAACUGGAACAUAUACAACGUAAACACAGCAGCAUUAUUAUGAUGAUAUUUAUUAUUAUUACUAUUAAUAUUAUUAUUAGUGGUAGUAGCAAUAGUAUAAGUAUAGCGCUUGUGUCAAAAUACAGGUUACAAAUGAAAAGCAUCUAGGCAAAACUUAGAAAAUAUUAACCUAAAAUGUAACACUUAUAUUAGGUUAAAAGCUCAAAUAGUAUCUUAUUGACAAUACUAAGAAAAUAAUCUGUGUGUGUGUGUGUGUGUGUCUGGACAUUUGUUAAGAGUUUUGAUUUUCAAAGCUUUUUUGAAGAACACAAUGAGCUUUAACAAGGAAAAAAUGUCUAAAUAUCUUCAAUGAUGUGUUUCUUUGCUCAAAGCUACAGAGCAAACAGUAAACUGCAAUGACACAAAUGUUCACCUUACAGAAUCCGGAGUUGUGUCUGGAUGCUAGACAUGUAAUUGGCCCCUCUGUGUUAAACAUGGCCCCUUCAUGGCAUCUGAUUUAGGAAAAUCCUAGAUCUGUUCCAUAUAUACACAUGAGUGUUAUUCUUCUCCUAUGGAAUAAAGAAUCUAAAUUUCA